UACGUAGGGGGCGAGCGUUGUCCGGAGUUACUGGGCGUAAAGCGCACGCAGGCGGUCUGUGAAGUUUGGAGUGACAGUUGGUGGCUCAACCACCAAAGUGCUUUGAAAACUGACAGACUUGAGGGCUUCAGAGGGACACGGAAUUCCGGGUGGAGUGGUGAAAUGCUUAGAGAUUACAUGGAAUACCAAUUGCGAAGGCAGGUUACUACUAAUGGAUUGACGCUGAUGGACGAAAGCGUGGGUAGCGAACAGGA
rnacentral:rRNA from 1 species